CGUAGGUGAACCUGCUGCUGGAUCAUUA
rnacentral:rRNA from 1 species